GCUAAAUCUGGGCCGUCGGCGGCGGUAAUACAGAGGGUGCAAGCGUUAAUCGGGUUUACGUGGCGUAAAGCGCGCGUAUGCGGCUAAUUAAGUCAAAUGUGAAAUCCCCGAGCUUAACUUGGGAAUUGCAUUCGAUACUGGUUAGCUAGAGUGUGGGAGAGGAUGGUAGAAUUCCAGGUGUAGCGGUGAAAUGCGUAGAGAUCUGGAGGAAUACCGAUGGCGAAGGCAGCCAUCUGGCCUAACACUGACGCUGAGGUGCGAAAGCAUGGGGAGCAAACAGGAUUAGAUACCCGGGUAGUC
rnacentral:rRNA from 1 species